GGCCCCAGCACCAGUCCGCUCUUCGGGGGGAAAGCCGCCGCCGCGUACUCCCGGGAACCCGAGCCGCCGCACCGCAUCUCCGAGACCGACCACCCGCUGCCCCGGAAGGACCGCCGCUUCGAGGGCUGCUGCUCUACGUGUGUCGUGUCUGUGGAUGGACUGCCGUCGUGCUCCCCGGUCAACUAUGGGCGAACACAAGGUCGACUUCAACCGCUACAGACUUAUCUCCUAGGCAGACAGCACUGAGCAGCUACAAGCAGCCCACAACCUAACCAAGGAGCAUGUGGCGCCGGACAACCUACGAAAAAUGAACUUUAGACUUGCAGUUCAGCUCUUCAGUCACAGCACUGCUUGUGGCCUGAGUCUACUAGCGGCUCAGCUACACUGGCCUUGAAAACUGCGGAGGAACUGUGAAGUUCACUUGAAGAAUGAAUGACGUCUUCAACGCACUAAGUGUGAAGCUGCCUGCCCAAGGUAUAAAAGGAUAUUCAAAGGAAAUCAAGGUAAACAUAAAAGCGCCACUGGAUACUGUAUUAAGUGAAA